rnacentral:rRNA from 1 species
GUCUCCGGUCGCGCCGCCCUGAACGCACCCGAUCCCGUCCGAUCUUGGGCGCUCAGCAGGGCCGGGCCUGGUUAGGACUCGGAUGGGAGACCACCCAGGACGACCAGGUGCCGUAGGCG